CUAUACAUGCAAGUCGAGCGGACAGAUGGGAGCUUGCUCCCUGAUGUUAGCGGCGGACGGGUGAGUAACACGUGGGUAACCUGCCUGUAAGACUGGGAUAACUCCGGGAAACCGGGGCUAAUACCGGAUGGUUGUCUGAACCGCAUGGUUCAGACAUAAAAGGUGGCUUCGGCUACCACUUACAGAUGGACCCGCGGCGCAUUAGCUAGUUGGUGAGGUAACGGCUCACCAAGGCGACGAUGCGUAGCCGACCUGAGAGGGUGAUCGGCCACACUGGGACUGAGACACGGCCCAGACUCCUACGGGAGGCAGCAGUAGGGAAUCUUCCGCAAUGGACGAAAGUCUGACGGAGCAACGCCGCGUGAGUGAUGAAGGUUUUCGGAUCGUAAAGCUCUGUUGUUAGGGAAGAACAAGUGCCGUUCAAAUAGGGCGGCACCUUGACGGUACCUAACCAGAAAGCCACGGCUAACUACGUGCCAGCAGCCGCGGUAAUACGUAGGUGGCAAGCGUUGUCCGGAAUUAUUGGGCGUAAAGGGCUCGCAGGCGGUUUCUUAAGUCUGAUGUGAAAGCCCCCGGCUCAACCGGGGAGGGUCAUUGGAAACUGGGGAACUUGAGUGCAGAAGAGGAGAGUGGAAUUCCACGUGUAGCGGUGAAAUGCGUAGAGAUGUGGAGGAACACCAGUGGCGAAGGCGACUCUCUGGUCUGUAACUGACGCUGAGGAGCGAAAGCGUGGGGAGCGAACAGGAUUAGAU
rnacentral:rRNA from 1 species